CACACACACGAGCCGCCGCCGCCGCGCAGCCAGCAGAAUGAGCCAUCCAGCCCGGGCAGAACGGGGACCCGGGCUCCGCCAGCGCUGGGCACGGCCCACCUGAGCCGCGGGCGUGGGGGGAGCCGGGGUUGGACUGCCAAUCCUGUGCCUCUGCCCGGUGCACCCACGGGUUGCACCACGCCCGAGUCAUGAUCUUCUAAAUCUUUUGAGUCCCUUCGGAUGGGGCAGCAACCGUGUUGGAGCAUCGUGACCCCACUCACCCGGGUGUCCGGGACCCCGGAAUCCCCCCCGCGCAGCAGUGGUCUCUCCCGGCGCUGUGGCUCCUCCAGAUAAAGCAGCGAUUUCAGCCCAAAUGUUUCUCAAUUUUUAUUGAAUGCUGCAAAGCCGAGAUCGUCUGGCGCGGCUGACAGGAGCAGAGAGAGGGGACCCGGGGCGGGGGGGCGGAGAACGAGGAAGGGGCUGCCCAAAGCCGGGGGACUGGCCCUACCUGUCAGGACUGGGAGUGCCACCCCCUUGCCUGAGCCCUGCCACCCGCGUCCCUGCGGCUUCGAAAGGGACUGAACUGCAAUGAAUGAGGGGGGGAAAGAGGGGGGAGCUGGGAACAAAACAGGCGGCUUUCCCAGGCUCUAGGGUUGGGCUGGGGCCUCUGCCUGGGAGAGUGGGCCUUGGCGCUCGCCCGCGGGCCCGGGGUUCUCUCUGGCAGGAGUGGCGGGCCCUGGCAGGCAGACCCCGGGCCUUCCCUCCUUGCCUUGUUGUCUUGCGCGAGCCCACCGGCCCCUCCCCGCGGACCUUCCCAGCCGCACAUUGUAUUUCUCCUCUGUUGAUCUGGUUCCCGGUGCAGUUUGCGAGCAGGGGUGUGGAGGAGGCCCGGGGGUGGGGGGUGCCUAGCGACAGCCCCUACUCCACCCCUCGGUGGAAUGGACCUGUCUGGGCUGCUCGGUUUUGUGCAUAGCUGUCCCUUCGGGGAGGACACAACCCCUUGUUCCAUUUCUGCGGGCCCAGCCUGCUCUGACAGCCUUCAUCACCAUCAUCAUUAGCGGGCUUGCUGAGACCGGUGGUGGGAGGACUGGAGGGAUCCUGCGGGAACCACCCAGGCAGGGCCCCUAGCCUUUGGGACCCGCGCUCCUGAAAACACACUUAGCCAACAGCACUGGCCAUGAUCAUUGCAGUGGGUGGAAGAAUGCUUUAGAGAGACAAGCUGUUAAAAGUCCAGUGCAGACCUCUCCAGUCCCUUUGUCCCACAAACUAACAAAACGUCCCAGAGAUGUCUUCCCUUCAAGGCCCAUCAGACAGACUGUCCUGAGACACCAACUGAGGUUUGGAAAUUUGGGGCACCCUUUGAAGCAUUGAGAGUCCAUCAGAAAUGAACCUCAGCCUGGGAGGCCACCUGGAAAUGGUGGGCCUCGAAGGUUGCAAAGGAGGCAGAACAGAAGUGAGCCGGGGAGAAUAGAAGACAACAGGGAAGAUCACCCUCUCUGCCAACACCUUCCACUCCGUGUUGCCUGCAGACUCCUGCCUGGGGUAGAAGUUAAUUGGGUGCCCUGGCUUUUUUUUUUUUUUCUCUGUUUCUCCUCAUCAGACAAACCAAGGGGCUUAGGAUUUGGUGGACUCUGAGCCUUUUCUCCUCCAUCCCUGGUGUAUACAGGUGGCCCCUCCCCAUUUCCAGAAACAUUUAUGGGCCAUCUAUUACAUCCUGGGUGGAUUCAGCUCUGCUUUCUUUCUAUCCCCUGGGGACCCUUGUCACCAUCCACCCACCCCUAGCAAUUGCUUCCUUCUUGAUUUAAAAUCCUUUUUGAUUCAAAAUACAAAUACUAGAUUUUAGCAUCCUUUGAGAACCCGGGUACCAGGGAUGAGGCUCGGGGCUGUUCACGUUUCCAGAUUUUCCUCUCCUCCAUUGUCACAACUCUGGUGGCAGGUGCAGGCCAUCUCAGGUGAUGAGACUGAGGACCAGGUAAGUCAUCUGCUCAAGGCCAAAUAGCGCAUCGGAGCUAGGAUUCAAGCAGUGUCUGACACCCACACUCAUCCCUUGGGCCUUGCAUAGGUCCAUAGAACACGUUUAUUCAGUUAGCCAACUUCCCACAGUCACUGAAAACCUUAUCAUUAAUUGAUAGCAGUCUGGACUUUUACCUGGCCAAACGCAAAAAAAAAAAAAAAAAAAAAUCACUGUAGCAAUAAACAAAGCCCCGUAUCUUCCCCAUCCCGUUCUCCCUCCGUGUUGUAUGAUUCCCCAUUUGAGAUCCUAUAGAAAGGCUGAGUCUUGUCAGCCAUCCAAGGCCUUCCUCUCUGCUCUCUUGGCAACUGCCUUCGACUCCGCCUUUGUCCCAGCCAAACCCUAUCCAGCUUUCUCUGCUCUGUGACCAGGAUUCCACCUCAUCAACCCCUUACUAAGUGCCUUCACUAACUUUGGCCUCUUCGGGACUGACACCCAUUUGCUUAGGAUUUUCCGGAAAGAUGAUCACGGGUUCCCUUGCUGGGGCCUGGGGAUAGUUUGAUUAUCUUCAGUUUGCAUAUUGCCUCUCAAACCCCCAGCAUAUUAGAUGUUUCCUAAUGGGGAACCUGCCCCUCCAGGUGUAGCAGAGGCUGGAGAGUGAGCUUUGGAUCCAGACCCGGUCCCUCACUGCACAGGAAGAGACGGCUGGAAGCUUCAUUUGUCUAAUGACAACAGCUCCCCGCAUUUGCAAUCACGCUUUAACAGUUUACAAAGCAGUGUUCACACCCAUCCAGUCGGCUCAUGAUAAUUCAACGAGCGGAGCCUCCCACCCCCAGCACCAGCCUCUAGAAGGGGAAAGCGGGAUCCAGAGAGGGAAAGGUACUUGCCCAAGUACUCACAGCACUGUUAGCUGUGCAUCGCUGCAGUCAUAGAGAGAAAUCUGAUGACCUCACUUGUCUGUGUCUCUUUCUGUCUCACUUGAUUGACAAACAUGAGUUGGGCAUUGCCUACGUGCCAGGCACUGGGGAGGCAGGAAUGCAGCUGAGGACCUGUUAGACAAGACCCCGCAGGAGUCCCAAAGGGGGACAAAAUAAUCAACAAUGAUCCAGGCCAGGAAGACAAUAAAGCUGGGUGACAGAGCGCUGAGUGACCCUGGGGGUGGGGAGGGUGGGGUCAGAGAAGCCUGUCUGAGGAGGGAGUAUGACAGCUGAAAGCCAGGCCAAACAAAUGUGGGGACGGGACCUGCUGGGUGUUUCCUACUUGUCGAUACCUUGUCUCCCACUGUCUUACCUGCCCAGUCACUGGACUGAUGGGAGCCCUUGGUCACGUGUGGAUCAGAGCACACCUCCAACCACUGCCGAGCUGGAGGAUCUGAGCAGAUACUUGGCUAUACCUCUGUCCCUGCCCUCUCUUCGCUGGGUGACCUCAGGAAAGACCUUCAGUUCUCUGAACCUAAGCAGGAGUGUUUCUAAUUCUACCCAUACAGAGCUCAUAGGUCAGCACUGCCCAAAAGAAAUCUAAUACCGGCUCAUAUGUAAUUUUAAAACUCUAGUAGCCAUAUUAAAAAAAAAAUCAAAUGAAGGACUAGGGGACCUGUAGCUUAGAGGUACACCUUGCUUACUCAGCAUGCAUGUGGUCUUGAAUUCUUCUUCUUCUUCUUUUUUUAAAUAAGGAGUUCCUAGGUUUUUGGUUUUAAAUUUAAUUUAAUUUAUUUAAUGUGCAUUUGUGUUUUUGCCUUUGUGUGUGUCUAUGUGAGGAUGUCAGAAUCCCUGAAAUUGGGGUUACAGACAGGUAUGAGCUGCCAUAUCCGGUGUUGGGAAUUGAACCUUCCUCUGGAAGAGCAGCCAAUGCUCUUAACUGCUGAGCCAUCUCUCCAGCUGCAGCCCUGGGCUCUAAUACCACCUCCAAGAAAAAUACAAGGAGGCUUUGAAUAACCCGGUUCUCCUGCCCCAGCUUCCCCAAUACUGAGAUUACAAGAGGGAGGACGACACCAGCUACAAUCUGAGAGGGAGGACCACACAGGCUGCAAUCUGGCACAUUUUUGGUAUAACUACAGCCUUGUAUGCACAGUGCUGACUCCUGACUUUCUUCUCCUAGCACACAGUGUAUGUGUGUUCUGGUUGUUACAUCAUGACUAAGGGCGACAGACUCCUCCAGGGACCAGAAGGCUUUCCUGGAUCCUCAUUUGUCUUCUUCAGUAAAUACAACCCCCUAUCCUGACAUUCAAGGCUCCCCAGAGGCUGGACGACUUCAUUCCCCAGCAUCAUCUCCGCUGUUCAACCCAGGCCCUGUUUCCUGUGGUAUUCUCCCUGUGCUCAGCUCUUGGCUCUUGUCAUCCACAGAUCCUCUCUGCCACACUCUCCAUGCCAUUCUCAAAGUCCUGUCACAUGACGCCCACUCCAACAGACCUGCCACAGAUACCUUCACCAGCAAGCUGAUGGCACACGCCUUGAUUUCCUUCACCCCACCCCCAAUUGUCUCACAGCACAGAGAGUGGGGGAGGGUUGAACCUAGAGAAUGAUAUGUUGGGGCCAUGUGUGACUUUGAGCAGGAAAAGUCCUUAACUUCCUUAAUUCUCAGUCUCUUUAUUAUUUUGUUUGUUGAUUUUGUGUGUGUGUGUGUCUUUUUGUGCACAGCCUUGUCAUGUGAUUUAUGAUCCUCCUGCCUCAACCUCCUCAAUGUUGGGAAUGUAGGCAUGAACUUUAUGUCUGGCUAUUGCUUUAUCUACAAAAUGGGUCUGAACCUUACAGAUUCAUUAACAGAGCAUAAUAAAGCUGAACGUGAGGGCUUA